CUCCCUGAGACUUAAAGUCUCCUGAAGGAACGUUGAAGACGACGACGUUGAUAGGCCGGGUGUGUAAGCGCAGCGAUGCGUUGAGCUAACCGGUACUAAUGAACCGUGAGGCUUAACCUU
rnacentral:rRNA from 2 species